rnacentral:rRNA from 1 species
AUGUUCUCGACCUUCCCCGACGUCUCUUGUUGCUGUCGCACAUGGCGCUCUGCGGUUUCCUGGCAGCUAUCGCCGCAGCUGUGCGUGUGUUGUGUUUCCCUGGCACCUUCCCCCGUGCGUGAGGCUAUGGCACCGAGCUGCUGCUGGUUUUGUUGUUGUCAAUUUGGGCUGCUGCUUGAGGCCAGCGAAUGGCCUUCCCCACUAGCAGGCUGCUCCUUAUGCUUCAGCUACAGCCUACAGGGGAUCGAGCAGCAGCAGGAAAUUUUUUUGGACACUUUUUAUUCGCAUCAAACUGCUGCUGUUUUCUGCUAUGGAUUUCAUACUACAAUGAAGAGGAAAGUAAAGUCAGGGAGAGAGAGAGAGAGAGCACAUAGCAAUAGUGAUGAGAGGAUAAGAUUGGAAUGUGUGGGGGAGAGAGCACCACGUUUACAAUUAAGAAUUGAGACCACUAGUUUUUCCAACUAG